CGGCCAGCCUCUAGAGCCAAGGAGCGGCUUUCAUCCGAGAUGAAGAGCAGCGGAGGGGCUGCUGCAGCAGCUCCAAGAUGAAGAGUUUGUUUGUUGAGGACGAAGGGCCGGUCGCGGAAGAGGACCGCUCGGGAUUUGCCGAAGUGUCCGAGCAGCGGAAAGGUGAGUGGAGUGAUCAACGGACGUCAAUUUGUAACGCUUGCUUUGCAGGUUCGCAGAUGAGGCGACGCAAGGCCGCGCACGGGGUGGAAGAAGAGACCUUUCGGGGACAAAAGGAAGCAGGGCUCGGGAUAGGAUUGGGGGGAAAAAAAAAAGGAGCAAUUCGUUGCACGGACUCCACACGCAUUCAGAUGAGUGUAUUUUUCUUUGUAAUUGUUACGGAGGGGAGGUGUAAAUGUGAGCGGGCAGAGUGCGGAGGUGUUGGUAGGAGCUAGGUUGGUCUGUGUUGGUUGAGACGGUGGGCAGGUUGUUAGGCUCGGUGUGGACUAGGUUUGAGUUGCAAAGGUCGCUGGCUUUGAAACGAGGAAUUGGUAGUUGGCAACGGACUGAGGGAGACUCGAUAGGUGCUUGUUGUGCAUGUCCAGUUUGUCGUUUGUAUGGGGGGGGGGCAAAAAUGUUCAUGAUAAUUGAUGUUUUUUUUUUUUUCUUGCAGGCAUCCGGAGCCAAAAGGUGCACUUGCUGUGCUGUUUGAAAAGCUAAGUAACUUUUGUAGAAGUUUGUAUAUAUAUUUAUUUUUUGGUGUUUGUGCUUCCUCACUGAGUCACCGGGUGUGCAUGGACUGUCGUUUUCUUUUGUGUACAAAUAUUGGAAGGAUGUCAAGGCUGAAAUGGGUGACUUAAUUUUUAUUUUUUUUUUUAUUUUUGCCUCCCCAGGAUGAAGACCCAGAAAUGCGGCGGAGCUCCAAAAGGAAGAGUUGGCGGUUUUUCCAGGGUGAAUAUGAAUGCGCUCUGCUUGGGGAAUCUUCUAUCCAGGGAGUAUGUCUCUUGGCUGCGCUGGGGUCACUUAAUCACAAGGUCACGGUGCGCCGAGCUGGGCAUUCUGGGACACAACUUGGUGGAGCGCCGAAGGUGAUGUCAAGUUUGCUUAUUUGUGUGUCAAAGCUUUAAUAAAAGUUGAACUAAGCAAUGAGAUGGGUGAUUUUCGGACGCGCUGGCUUUUCCGUUGGAUGUGAGGUAGAAGUAGCAGUUGACGACACGGGCGUGUAAUAAAGCUUUUGACCUAUUUUAAUGUAAGUAACUUGGUUAAUGAUAAAAUUUCACUUUUUUUUUUUUAGUCCAAAUGCGAUUAAAUGUAAUAACAUUCAAUUGGAAGUAUUUGGCGCUUUCAAUGGAAGCAGCCGCUUCCAAAUGUCAAGGUGUCUGGAAGUCAGACCCUUUAAUUAUAAUUUUUUUUUUUUUGUAUAUUUUUGUUGUAUUUUUA